GUGCUUGCUUCGGCAGUACAUAUACUAAAAUUGGAACAAUACAGAGAAGAUUAGCAUAGCCCCUAUGCACGGAUGACAUGCAAAUAUGUGAAGCAUUCCAUAUUUUU